UAGGUGACUGCGUACCUUUUGUAUAAUGGGUCAGCGACUUAUAUUCAGUGGCAAGCUUAACCGUAUAGGGUAGGCGUAGCGAAAGCGAGUCUUAAUAGGGCGUUUAGUCGCUGGGUAUAGACCCGAAACCGGGCGAUCUAUCCAUGAGCAGGUUGAAGGUUAGGUAACACUGACUGGAGGACCGAACCCACUCCCGUUGAAAAGGUAGGGGAUGACUUGUGGAUCGGAGUGAAAGGCUAAUCAAGCUCGGAGAUAGCUGGUUCUCCUCGAAAGCUAUUUAGGUAGCGCCUCAUGUAUCACUCUGGGGGGUAGAGCACUGUUUCGGCUAGGGGGUCAUCCCGACUUACCAAACCGAUGCAAACUCCGAAUACCCAGAAGUGCCGAGCAUGGGAGACACACGGCGGGUGCUAACGUCCGUCGUGAAAAGGGAAACAACCCAGACCGCCAGCUAAGGUCCCAAAGUUGUGGUUAAGUGGUAAACGAUGUGGGAAGGCUUAGACAGCUAGGAGGUUGGCUUAGAAGCAGCC
rnacentral:rRNA from 1 species